AUUGAACGCUGGCGGCAGGCCCAACACAUGCAAGUCGAACGGUAACAGGAAGCAGCUUGCUGCUUCGCUGACGAGUGGCGGACGGGUGAGUAAUGUCUGGGAAACUGCCUGAUGGAGGGGGAUAACUACUGGAAACGGUAGCUAAUACCGCAUAACGUCGCAAGACCAAAGAGGGGGACCUUCGGGCCUCUUGCCAUCGGAUGUGCCCAGAUGGGAUUAGCUAGUAGGUGGGGUAACAGCUCACCUAGGCGACGAUCCCUAGCUGGUCUGAGAGGAUGACCAGCCACACUGGAACUGAGACACGGUCCAGACCCCUACGGGAGGCAGCAGUGGGGAAUAUUGCACAAUGGGCGCAAGCCUGAUGCAGCCAUGCCGCGUGUAUGAAGAAGGCCUUCGGGUUGUAAAGUACUUUCAGCGGGGAGGAAGGCGGUGAGGUUAAUAACCUUGUCGAUUGACGUUACCCGCAGAAGAAGCACCGGCUAACUACGUGCCAGCAGCCGCGGUAAUACGGAGGAUGCGAGCGUUAUCCGGAUUCAUUGGGUUUAAAGGGUGCGCAGGCGGGAUUUUAAGUCAGGUGUGAAAGACCGUGGCUCAACCACGGGGUUGCACUUGAAACUGGGAUUCUUGAGGGCAGGAGAGGAAAGUGGAAUUCCUGGUGUAGCGGUGAAAUGCGUAGAAAUCAGGAGGAACACCGGUGGCGAAGGCGACUUUCUGGACUGACCCUGACGCUGAGGUGCGAAAGCGUGGGUAGCAAACAGGAUUAGAUACCCUGGUAGUCCACGCUGUAAACGAUGGAUACUAGGUGUGGGAGGUAUCGACCCCUUCCGUGCCGCAGCUAACGCAAUAAGUAUCCCGCCUGGGGAGUACGGUCGCAAGGCUGAAACUCAAAGGAAUUGACGGGGGCCCGCACAAGCGGAGGAACAUGUGGUUUAAUUCGAUGAUACGCGAGGGACCUUACCCGGGCUUGAAUUGCUAACGACGGUUACUGGAGACAGUUACCUUCCUUCGGGACGUUAGUGAAGGUCCUGCAUGGUUGUCGUCAGCUCGUGCCGUAAGGUGUCGGCUCAAGUGCCAUAACGAGCGCAACCCUUGCCGUUAGUUGCCAUCAGGUGAAGCUGGGCACUCUAUCGGGACUGCCAUCGUAAGAUGUGAGGAAGGUGGGGAUGACGUCAAAUCAGCACGGCCCUUAUGUCCGGGGCUACACACGUGUUACAAUGGGGGGUACAGAGGGAAGCCACCUGGCGACAGGGCGCGGAUCCCGAAAUCCCUUCUCAGUUCGGAUCGGAAUCUGGAACCCGACUCCGUGAAGCUGGAUUCGCUAGUAAUCGCGCAUCAGCCAUGGCGCGGUGAAUACGUUCCCGGGCCUUGUACACACCGCCCGUCAAGCCAUGAAAGCCGGGGGCGCCUGAAGUCCGUAACCGCGAGGAUCGGCCUAGGGCGAACCUGGUAAUUGGGGCUA
rnacentral:rRNA from 1 species